rnacentral:rRNA from 1 species
AGAGUUUGAUCCUGGCUCAGGAUGAACGCUAGCGACAGGCUUAACACAUGCAAGUCGAGGGGCAGCGAGGGAGUGGCAACACUUCUGUCGGCGACCGGCGCACGGGUGAGUAACGCGUAUGCAACCUGCCCUUCACAGGGGGAUAACCGGGAGAAAUUCCGACUAAUACCGCAUACGUCCUCCGGGGGCAUCCCCGGGGGAUGAAAGAAUUAUCGGUGAAGGAUGGGCAUGCGUGAUAUUAGGUAGUUGGCGGGGCAACGGCCACCAAGCCCACGAUAUCUAGGGGUUCUGAGAGGAAGGUCCCCCACGAUUGGUACUGGAGACACGGAUCAAAACUCCUACGGGAGGCA